UCUUAUGGAGGAGCAAAGAAAGUGGUUUCUUGAGAUGAAGUCUAUUCUUGGUGAACAUGCUAUGAA
rnacentral:pre_miRNA from 1 species